UAGAGUUUGAUCCUGGCUCAGAAUCAACGCUGGCGGCGCGCUUAACACAUGCAAGUCGAGCGAGAAAGUGGAGCAAUCCAUGAGUACAGCGGCGUACGGGUGAGUAACACGUGGGUAAUCUACCUUUUAGUGGGGAAUAACCCUGGGAAACCGGGGCUAAUACCGCAUAAUCCUGAGAAGGGAAAGCAGCAAUGCGCUGAAAGAGGAGCCCGCGGCCGAUUAGCUAGUUGGUGAGGUAAAGGCUCACCAAGGCGGUGAUCGGUAGCCGGCCUGAGAGGGCACACGGCCACACUGGCACUGAAACACGGGCCAGACUCCUACGGGAGGCAGCAGUGGGGAAUCUUGCACAAUGGAGGCAACUCUGAUGCAGCGACGCCGCGUGAGCGAUGAAGCCCUUCGGGGUGUAAAGCUCUUUCGGCAGGGACGAUAAUGACGGUACCUGAAGAAGAAGCUGCGGCUAACUACGUGCCAGCAGCCGCGGUAAUACGUAGGCAGCGAGCGUUGUUCGGAAUUACUGGGCGUAAAGAGUGUGUAGGCGGUGCUCUAAGUUCGGUGUGAAAUCUCCUGGCUCAACUGGGAGGGUGCGCCGGAAACUGGAAUGCUUGAGCGUGGGAGAGGAAAGCGGAAUUCCUGGUGUAGCGGUGAAAUGCGUAGAUAUCAGGAGGAACACCUGUGGUGUAGACGGCUUUCUGGACCAUAGCUGACGCUGAGACACGAAAGCGUGGGUAGCAAACAGGAUUAGAUACCCUGGUAGUCCACGCCCUAAACGAUGCAUACUUGGUGUCGGCCAUUCAGUUGG
rnacentral:rRNA from 1 species